rnacentral:rRNA from 1 species
UACGUAGGGUCCGAGCGUUGUCCGGAAUUAUUGGGCGUAAAGAGCUCGUAGGCGGUCCGUUAAGUCGGAAGUGAAAUCUCAAGGCUCAACCUUGAAAUCGCUUUCGAUACUGGCGGACUUGAGGCAGGUAGGGGAAGGUGGAAUUCCUGGUGUAGCGGUGAAAUGCGUAGAUAUCAAGAGGAACACCGAUGGCGAAGGCAGGUGUUCUGGGCCAGUACUGACGCUGGAGGAGCGAAAGCGUGGGGAGCAAACGGG